GAGGUUAAUUUGUGUAUCACUGAAUUGUAUGAUUUUUUCAGGAUCAGCUGAGAUGUUAUUUCACUGGAUUAUUUAAUGGAUAGGCUUAUUGGGCAUAUGGUUGGAUAUCUCUGGAUCAGCUGAGAUGUUAUUUCACUGGAUUAUUUAAUGGAUAGGCUUAUUGGGCAUAUAGUUGAAUAUCUCUGUCCUCAACCUGGAAGAUAUGUUUUGUUCCUAACCAUCUAUAAUCCAUUCUCUAUGAAGUUCAGACUGUCUGCUAUUCCUUUGGAAAUACACAGUUAGUCAAAAAA